rnacentral:rRNA from 2 species
AACAGGAUUAGAUACCCUGGUAGUCCACGCCGUAAACGAUGUCGACUUGGAGGUUGUUCCCUUGAGGAGUGGCUUCCGGAGCUAACGCGUUAAGUCGACCGCCUGGGGAGUACGGCCGCAAGGUUAAAACUCAAAUGAAUUGACGGGGGCCCGCACAAGCGGUGGAGCAUGUGGUUUAAUUCGAUGCAACGCGAAGAACCUUACCUACUCUUGACAUCCAGCGAACUUGGCAGAGAUGCCUUGGUGCCUUCGGGAACGCUGAGACAGGUGCUGCAUGGCUGUCGUCAGCUCGUGUUGUGAAAUGUUGGGUUAAGUCCCGCAACGAGCGCAACCCUUAUCCUUUGUUGCCAGCGAUUCGGUCGGGAACUCAAAGGAGACUGCCGGUGAUAAACCGGAGGAAGGUGGGGAUGACGUCAAGUCAUCAUGGCCCUUACGAGUAGGGCUACACACGUGCUACAAUGGCGCAUACAAAGAGAAGCGACCUCGCGAGAGCAAGCGGACCUCACAAAGUGCGUCGUAGUCCGGAUCGGAGUCUGCAACUCGACUCCGUGAAGUCGGAAUCGCUAGUAAUCGUGGAUCAGAAUGCCACGGUGAAUACGUUCCCGGGCCUUGUACACACCGCCCGUCACACCAUGGGAGUGGGUUGCAAAAGAAGUAGGUAGCUUAACCUUCGGGAGGGCGCUUACCACUUUGUGAUUCAUGACUGGGGUGAAGUCGUAACAAGGUAACC